AACGAACGCUGGCGGCAUGCCUAACACAUGCAAGUCGAACGAGAUCUUCGGGUCUAGUGGCGCACGGGUGCGUAACGCGUGGGAAUCUGCCCUUCGGUUCGGAAUAACAGUUGGAAACGACUGCUAAUACCGGAUGAUGACGAAAGUCCAAAGAUUUAUCGCCAGAGGAUGAGCCCGCGUGGGAUUAGCUAGUUGGUGUGGCAAAGGCGCACCCAGGCGACGAUCCUUAGCUGGGCUGAGAGGAUGAUCAGCCAAACUGGGACUGAGACAUGGCCCAGACUCCUACGGGAGGGAGCAGUGGGGAAUAUUGGACAAUGGGCGAAAGCCUGAUCCAGCAAUGCCGCGUGAGUGAUGAAGGCCUUAGGGUUGUAAAGCUCGUUUACCCGGGAUGAUAAUGACAGUACCGGGAGAAUAAGCUCCGGCUAACUCCGUGCCAGCCGCCGCCGUAAGA
rnacentral:rRNA from 1 species